UCGACGAGUAACCACCGAGGAUCUUUGCCCAUGACUGGGACUAUCAUUUUUGGAAUGAGUCCUUCUGGUGUGUCCUGGUCAGUAAACAAAUACCUACCAAGAAGAGGCGGAAAUCAUGAAUGAAAAAAGUUUUUGUACGCCAAAGCCGACGAUGCAAACACGGUUUUCCCGAUAUUUCUAGCAGUUAGGGGAAUUUUGUAUUUGGCAACAAAAAGCUGCGCAUGCUCACUAUCACAAAAACAGCGCGGGCUCAAAUUACAUAACAAUGAGUCAUCAAUUACUUGUCGAGGUCAGGGUCAUGGCGCAAGCGAAAUUCGAAUGAUAUUCUGGCUAGAGUCACGGAAAAUGAUAAAAAAGAUGUCAAUUUCAUAAGUUUUCUUUGUAAUUUCGGAAAUGAAAGGGGAAAAUAUUCCAUAUUCAUCGAGAAUUAAGACUCGUGACUCAGCCACUUGUGACGCAUCACGCGAGUACGUGAUGGAUCGUGCACCUUGGCCUCAGCCCGCGCGAUUACGUCAUCACAGAGAGUGAUUUAAAAUAGUGUUAAGCCUUUGUCCGCUUUUCCGCUUCAGAAGGCCGAGAAGCAGAGUGGUCAAAUGCCACAAAACCGCAUCAAACGGUCGGUUCUCUCAAUCUCCAGCUGUCCAGUCAAAGAACAAGGAAUCGAAGAAAGGCAACCGCGUUUGAUUUAAGUGUUUAGAGGUGGUAACACAAUGACUGUGACAGUUCACAACCGGCACGGCAAAAUUCCCAUGCCGCCGUUUGAAUUAACAAGGAAAUGAGUCACUCGUAAUUUCUAAGAACGUUUUUCGUUAUGGUAGACAUCUCAAACUUUCAACUUGACGGUGGAAAGACCUUCGCGUGUCUCUACAUUUUCGUGCAUUUUUGGCUUAAAAACAUAAACCAAAAAGCCGGGGCCUGAAGCAAUUUCCUCCGUGGGAGGUCAAACUUUCUUACAUAAACCCAGCCGUUGUUUAGGCCCUGUUUGUUCCGUUAGAAAACUAUACAAUGUGUUCAUGGCGAACUUAUUGUCGGCUCUGUAAGGAGCCGAUGAAGUCCUUUCCUUCCCAUGAAACGCGAAUCGACUCGUGAUCUUAGAUCUCCGAUCGGCAAAAUCUUAAUUAGCAAACAUUUCCAUUGCUGAUUACCGUCACCUGUGUUCGCUGAUUAGCACUGACUUUUAAGAUUUACCUGAUGAUGUUUCGGUCUCCCCAUGUUCAGUGUUAGCUUUUAUUCGUGAUUGUUUUGUUAUCAGUGGCUUCCUAUGAUGGCUAUUUUUCUCAUAUGAUCGAGAUUUGGGAAAAAAGAGCUGCAUUGUGGAACUCUCCGAGGGUGCUUGAUGAACUGAUGAUCACGAAAACACAAAAUGCAACAGUUGCGUAAAGCUUCCCAGAGUGAGAACCUUUCAAAAGACCCUGAUGGAGAUCUGCUCGGGCAGGUUUUAAAAGGAAAACGAUUUCUCUUUCGCUAGCAGUUGGGAACUUUUUACUCCGAUUUUACAGCAGAAUGCCACCGGGAGCCCAUUACUCAGAAACUCUAACAAAAAACAAGUUAGCCUGCGUCUUGAAUUGAAGUUCGAAAAUUUUGUGUAUUAAAGAGGAUAUCUAAGUUUUGUAACGAAGCCAAAAAUAAAUAGAGAUCUUUAACUCAA